GCGCGAAAACUCCAUAAUGCACGAAAGUGUGAUGGGGGAAUCCCAAGUGCUUAUACUAAGUAUAGGCUUUUGCCAUGAGCAAAAAUCAUGGCGAAUAAGUGGUGGGUAAGACUGGUGCCAGCCGCCGCGGUAACACCAGCGCCACAAGUGGCAAUCGCAUUUAUUGGGCCUAAAGCGUCCGUAGCCGGUCUGGUAAAUCCUUUGUGAAAUUGUCAGGCUUAACUUGACAGCGUGCAGAGGACACUGCCAGACUCGAGACUGGGAGGGGUCGGAGGUAUUUCUGGGGGAGCGGUAAAAUGUUAUAAUCCCUGAAAGACCACCUAUGGCGAAGGCAUCCGACUAGAACAGAUCUGACGGUGAGGGACGAAAGCUAGGGGAGCAAAACGG
rnacentral:rRNA from 1 species